rnacentral:rRNA from 1 species
CCUAUACGUUGCCUCGGCGGAUCAGCCCGCGCCCCGUAAAACGGGACGGCCCGCCCGAGGACCCCUAAACUCUGUUUUUAGUGGAACUUCUGAGUAAAACAAACAAAUAAAUCAAAACUUUCAACAACGGAUCUCUUGGUUCUGGCAUCGAUGAAGAACGCAGCAAAAUGCGAUAAGUAAUGUGAAUUGCAGAAUUCAGUGAAUCAUCGAAUCUUUGAACGCACAUUGCGCCCGCCAGUAUUCUGGCGGGCAUGCCUGUUCGAGCGUCAUUUCAACCCUCAAGCUCAGCUUGGUGUUGGGACUCGCGGUAACCCGCGUUCCCCAAAUCGAUUGGCGGUCACGUCGAGCUUCCAUAGCGUAGUAAUCAUACACCUCGUUACUGGUAAUCGUCGCGGCCACGCCGUAAAACCCCAACUUCUGAAUGUUGACCUCGGAUCAGGUAGGAAUACCCGCUGAACUUAAGCAU